rnacentral:rRNA from 1 species
UUGAUUACGUCCCUGCCCUUUGUACACACCGCCCGUCGCUGCCCGGGACUGAGCCAUUUCGAGAAAUUUGGGGACUGUUGAUUUAACUUUUUUUUAAAAAGUUUUUUUGAUGGAAACCAAUUUAAUCGCAGUGGCUUGAACCGGGCAAAAGUCGUAACAAGGUAGCUGUAGGUGAACCUGCUGCUGGAUCAUUAC